ACGAACGCUGGCGGCGUGCCUAAUACAUGCAAGUAGAACGCUGAAGAGAGGAGCUUGCUCUUCUUGGAUGAGUUGCGAACGGGUGAGUAACGCGUAGGUAACCUGCCUUGUAGCGGGGGAUAACUAUUGGAAACGAUAGCUAAUACCGCAUAACAAUGGAUGACACAUGUCAUUUAUUUGAAAGGGGCAAUUGCUCCACUACAAGAUGGACCUGCGUUGUAUUAGCUAGUAGGUGAGGUAACGGCUCACCUAGGCGACGAUACAUAGCCGACCUGAGAGGGUGAUCGGCCACACUGGGACUGAGACACGGCCCAGACUCCUACGGGAGGCAGCAGUAGGGAAUCUUCGGCAAUGGGGGCAACCCUGACCGAGCAACGCCGCGUGAGUGAAGAAGGUUUUCGGAUCGUAAAGCUCUGUUGUAAGUCAAGAACGAGUGUGAGAGUGGAAAGUUCACACUGUGACGGUAGCUUACCAGAAAGGGACGGCUAACUACGUGCCAGCAGCCGCGGUAAUACGUAGGUCCCGAGCGUUGUCCGGAUUUAUUGGGCGUAAAGCGAGCGCAGGCGGUUUGAUAAGUCUGAAGUUAAAGGCUGUGGCUCAACCAUAGUUCGCUUUGGAAACUGUCAAACUUGAGUGCAGAAGGGGAGAGUGGAAUUCCAUGUGUAGCGAUGAAAUGCGUAGAUAUAUGGAGGAACACCGGUGGCGAAAGCGGCUCUCUGGUCUGUAACUGACGCUGAGGCUCGAAAGCGUGGGGAGCGAACAGGAUUAGAUACCCUGGUAGUCCACGCCGUAAACGAUGAGUGCUAGGUGUUGGAUCCUUUCCGGGAUUCAGUGCCGCAGCUAACGCAUUAAGCACUCCGCCUGGGGAGUACGACCGCAAGGUUGAAACUCAAAGGAAUUGACGGGGGCCCGCACAAGCGGUGGAGCAUGUGGUUUAAUUCGAAGCAACGCGAAGAACCUUACCAGGUCUUGACAUCCCGAUGCUAUUUCUAGAGAUAGAAAGUUACUUCGGUACAUCGGUGACAGGUGGUGCAUGGUUGUCGUCAGCUCGUGUCGUGAGAUGUUGGGUUAAGUCCCGCAACGAGCGCAACCCCUAUUGUUAGUUGCCAUCAUUCAGUUGGGCACUCUAGCGAGACUGCCGGUAAUAAACCGGAGGAAGGUGGGGAUGACGUCAAAUCAUCAUGCCCCUUAUGACCUGGGCUACACACGUGCUACAAUGGUUGGUACAACGAGUUGCGAGUCGGUGACGGCAAGCUAAUCUCUUAAAGCCAAUCUCAGUUCGGAUUGUAGGCUGCAACUCGCCUACAUGAAGUCGGAAUCGCUAGUAAUCGCGGAUCAGCACGCCGCGGUGAAUACGUUCCCGGGCCUUGUACACACCGCCCGUCACACCACGAGAGUUUGUAACACCCGAAGUCGGUGAGGUAACCUUUUGGAGCCAGCCGCCUAAGGUGGGAUAGAUGAUUGGGGUG
rnacentral:rRNA from 1 species